AACCGUAGAUAAAGUGCCUUGCCCAAGGACACAAGCGAUUUGCACAGCGAGAGUUUCGAACCCCCGACCUCGAGGUUGGGAGUCCAAGCCACAACUGAUGUUUUCUAAAAUUAUAAUUCUUCCUUCCGCUCACCAUCCUAAAAUGGAAGCUCCAUAAUAUGUCUGUCAAGAAACAUUUGGCUUCUUCUGAACAUAAUUAUGAUGUGCUACAACAGGGGUCUACAAAAAAACAACAACUCUCAAAUUCAUCAUUAAUUUUUAGUGUUUCCAUGCAUCGUGGAUUAAUGCUUUCUAAAUGAACAAUAUCUUAUUGGAGUCUAUUGGCAAUAAUGCGUUCCGGAUUUUGCUGGCUGUUUGUAAUACAGUAUGGGUGUUUUGUGCGAGCAAAAAUGCUCCUUUAUUUUCUGUUUGUUUUUUGUAACAAUUGUAUGUACACAUACAAUACUUGUAAUUCAAUACUAUGAAUGGAAGCUCAUUGGAGUCAAUUGCUGUCUUUCCCAUUCGCUAUGAUUUUUAUAGCGAGUGUACGUACACAUAAUUGUACUUCCACUAUGAAUGAUACCUUAGUGGAGUCCAUUCAUGUCUCUCCCGUUCACUUUCUUGUUUGUUAUUUGUAUAUAUGUUGAAACUUGCGGAACACCACGUAAGUAGUUCUGAAAAGAGCUGUAGUAGUUGAGGAAGUCUCGAUGUUUCGAUUAAGUUUCAAUCGUCUUCAGGAGAACAAUAAUUUGUAGCAAGUGUUCACAUACUUGUACUUCUGCACAUGUACUAUGAAUGGUACGUCAGUGGAGUCCAUUGCUGUUUCUCCCGUUCACUUUCUUGUUUGUUAUUUGUAGCAAGUGAACGCAUAUUUGCACUUCUAUACUAUGAAUGAUAUCUCAGUGGAGUCCAUUGCUGUUUCUCCCAUUAACUUUCAUGUUUGUUUUUUGUAGCAAGUGUACGUACACAUAAUUGUACUUCCAUACUAUGAAUGAUACCUUAGGGGAGUCCAUUAAUGUCUCUCCCAUUGACUUUCUUGUUUGUUAUUUGUAGCAAGUGUACACAUACUUGUACUUCCAUACUAUGCAUGGUACCUCAGUGUUGUCCAUUGCUGUCAUAUACAGUAUAUUUUUUUCUUGUAAUAUAGUUGACACAAGGAAUUCUCAUGCUCAAAAAUACAUACAUGCCACAGAAUCUGCCAGAAACGAAUUUUACCUGGUUCCCAAUACCCUUUACCAUACUUGUCUAGAUGGUUUUCACUCUUAUUUAACCAUUACUGCGGUGAAAGUUAAGAUCUUGUCUUGAUAGCAUUUAUUUGUGUUAUUAAACUCUUGUAAUAACGUAAAUGUCUUUUGGCUUGCACGCAGUACUCUUUUGUGAUCUGUACUGUGUGAAAGCUUAGAUCUUGUCUUGAUGGAAUUGUUCUUUUGUACUGCAGUUCUUUACUGCAACAAGUGUCUUGUGGGGUUCUCUUGUCUUGAUGGUUAGUGCUCUCUUGUGUCUUCUGCUGUGGCAAAAAAAAAAAAAUACAAGUACUCUUUGAUGGUUAGUACUGUUCUUUGUCGUUUGUAGACUUGCAAGAUGCGGGUUGAACUCUUGUUUUGAUGUUUUCCUCCCUCUUGUACCUUUUACUGUGGCAACAAAAAUAAUUACCGUAACUUCUCCUUAGAUGGGUAGUACUGUUCUUUGUCAUUUGUAGACAUGCAGGAUGAUGUUUGAACUCUUGUCUUGAUGGUUAGCGCUCUUUUGUGUCUUUUAAUGGCAGUACUUCAUUUGAUGAUUGGCACUAUCUUGCAUCAUACAGUGGUGAAAAUUAAGAACUUGUCUUGAUGGUUAUUGCUCGUUUGUAUCUUUUACUGCUUGCUUUUCUAACUGAUAGUUUGGGAAUAUCGAACAUUUCUUAGUUAAUUUAUUUAUUUGUUUACAAACAUAUUUUAAAUGGAUAACAUCUUCAUAUAAAACUAUUUUCUAACAAAUGGUCCGUGAAUUAAGUAUAAAGCAAACAAUUUACAAAUAACAAGAAAUAUUUUUGGAUUUUUUUACAAUAUUUGAAUGAAUUUAAAAUACAUUAUAAUUGAAUUUGAAAAUACACAGAAAAAUAUAAUUAUUUUACAGAAAGUUAGAAAGGCAAAUAAAAGACAAUAUUUAUACCAAUGAAGAAUUUAACAGUGUUAUGGUACUUAUAGUUUGACUGUGUCAUGACAAAAGCUUAAAAAGCGGAUGGCUGGUCAAUAAAUUUAUUCUUAAGUGGUGUGCUUCAGACAUAUUUGCUUUUUAACUAUGUCUUCAUUGAGCAUCGUUACACCAUCCUCAUCACCACUGCUUGGAAUGGUUUGAACUGAUAAGGUUGAAAUUCUGCCAUAUCUUUCAUUGCGACUAUUUUUUUUAAUGCAGUGUUGCUUGAGAUGAUGCUGUGACGUGUGUCAGUUUAUUGUUCACAGCCUACAUCAUCUCAUUGAUUCACACUUGAGCACACAUGGCAGUUGGUGGAGUUUAGAUAAAUGUUGAAAAUGAAAUGUAACACCACAGUUUACUUUGUUGCUGUACUAGUGGUAGAAUUUAAGUUAUAUGUCCUGUAAUAGGGAUCAGAACUGAAAUUGUAUUCUCCAUUACCAGCAGCUUCCGUUGCUUGUAUCCCCUUAUAAAUAGCACCUUUGAGUUCAAGCUUUGUGUCCUCUAUGAUCACGGGAUAUCUGCUGCUUGACACGGGUAGGUAGCUUUUCUAGCACAAUUGUCAGAAGCAGGUCUCCGUAGCUGUCUUUCUUUCCCAAUGCUUUUAAUCCAUGCAAGUAUAUCUCUAGGUUGUGAUGAAAUUCUCUCACACUGGAAAUUAUGUCGCUUGGCUUUGGAAGUUCGUAUAGCGCUUUCAUGUAUGUUGAGAUAAGUUUAUUAUUAAGGAUUAAGUUUAUUUUAAAGGAUUCAUAACACUUCGUUAUAACUGGCAUUUCUAAGUUGAAGGCCUUGCAGUAUCUGCAGUUGAUGGUUUAAUCAAGUAUUAAAAUUUCUGAAUUUUUAUCGUCAUCGACAGCAACUUUAAAUGCAUAGAUGCAAGAUACCCUUUUUAAAAUUUUGGUGUGCCUUCCAUUUCCUCUACAGCAUGUUUUCAGCAAUCUCUUUGUGCAGUUCUUUAGGUAACAUUACUGUGGUGAAAGUUAAGUUCUGGUCUUGAUGAUAGCAUUCAUUUGUGUUAUUGUAAUAACAUUGUCUUUUGACAUGCAAACAGUACUCAUUUGUUUGUCCUUUUGUGUCGGUAAUUGCAACAUAACAGGGCAUGUUACAACUGCUAAUGCAGAAAACAACAGCUAAUAUGUACAAACACAUGUAGUGAAAAUAAAAUCAACGCCAGCUUCUGGAAAUGGAUUGCCACUAACUUUUUAGUCGGAAAAUUCCGUCUAAACCUACUUUGCAUUCUUCCCAUAAAUGACUCAAGUAGGUUGGUAAAAAAAUCAAAACAAGUCCUAGGCAUUCGAAAAUUCUUGCACCACUGACUGUUGUUAAAAUGGCUAAGUAGAUGCUCAACCAGUGGUCUGUGAUUUUUCUUCUCACUUCACUAGAUGUAGAUGAGAUGUCUGCACUUUCUGAUAUCAUUUGACUAGAUAAGUCUAGCUGUUUGUAUUUUUCCAUGUCGAUCAAAAAUUUGGUGAUAAUAUGGUGUCCAGCAUUGAUGAUUGUGCUUUCUAUUUCCUCUGCAGCAUGUCUUCAGCAAUCUCUUUGUCCAGUUCUUUAGGUAACAUUACUGUGGUGAAAGUUAAGUUCUGGUCUUGAUGAUAGCAUUCAUUUGUGUUAUUAUUGUAAUAACAUUGUCUUUUGACAUAGUACUCACUUGGUAUCUGUACUGGGCGAAAUUUUAGUACUUGUCUUGAUGGUUGUCCUUUUGUGUCUGUAAUUGCAACAUAACAGGGCAUGUUACAACUGCUAAUGCAGAAAACAACAGCUAAUAUAUACAAACACAUGUAGUGAAAAUAUAAUCAACGCCAGCUUCUGGAAAUGGAUUGCCACUAACUUUUUAGUUGGGCAAUUCCGUCUAAACCUAUUUUGCAUUCUUCAUAUAAAUGGCUCAAGUAGGUUGGUCAAAAAUUUAAAACAAGUCCUAGACAUUUGAAAAUUCUUGCACCACUGACUGUUGUUAAAUUGGCCAUGUAGAUGCUCAACCAGUGGUCUGUGAUUUUUUUCUCUAGCCGCCGUUCGUUAUUAAUUAUUUCUCAAAUUUAAUAACAUCACGUAGUAGUUAUAAUAAUAUAUUUUCAUACAUUUCUUGUUCGCGAACGAUUCGGUUGAGUUUAGACCUCAAAAAAAAUUACUGAACUUUUUAAACUCGCUGUACUAUAUCAAUAAAUGAAUGGAUUUUCUCCGAACAAAGAUGACAACAAAGCUUAAUGGUGUAUGCCUAGGCCUAGCCUAUUAAUUAUAUGUAUGUACCAUACAUGUGAAUAUUUUUCUUGUUUUUGCUGAAAUUUGACUUUCUUGUAGAAGUGUUUAUUAGUACAGUUGAAGAAAAUAAUUUUUUUUUUUUUUUUUCAAAAACUACAAAAUUAACUUCAUAAAUUUCUAACUGAACAGGGGUACCAAGCUAUUUUUGUAGCAAAAACACUAGUUAAAAUAUGCCCACAGGAAGAUGUCAAAGAAGAUGCGUUGCAUAUGGCUGUGCAAAGGCUAGUGUGUUUGUCAUCUCAAAUUAACACGAGCACUCCCUCGUUAGUUGCCAUGUCUACAUCAUCGAAAAUACAGUAGUGCAAUAUUUUACGAAUGCCCGCAUAGGAACCUUGGCCCUCGCAGAGGUCUGGUUCUUCUCACUUCACUAGAUGUAGGAGGUGUUUGCACUUUCUGAUAUCAUUUGACUAGAUAAGGCUAGCUGUUUGUAUUUUUCCAUGUUGAUCAAAAAUUUGGUGAUAAUAUGGUGUCCAGCAUUGAUGAUUGUUCCUUCUAUUUCCUCUACAGCAUGUCUUCAGCAAUCUCUUUGUGCAGUUCUUUAGGUAACAUUACUGUGGUGAAAGUUAAGUUCUGGUCUUGAUGAUAGCAUUCAUUUUGUGUUAUUAUUGUAAUAACAUUGUCUUUUGACAUGCACACGGUACUCAUUUGGUUGUCCUUUUGUGUCUGUAAUUGCAACAUAACAGGGCAUGUUACAACUGCUAAUGCAGAAAACAACAGCUAAUAUGUACAAACACAUGUAGUGAAAAUAAAAUCAACGCCAGCUUCUGGAAAUGGAUUGCCACUAACUUUUUAGUCGGAAAAUUCCGUCUAAACCUACUUUGCAUUCUUCCCAUAAAUGACUCAAGUAGGUUGGUCAAAAAAUCAAAACAAGUCCUAGGCGUUCGAAAAUUCUUGCACCACUGACUGUUGUUAAAAUGGCCAAGUAGAUGCUCAACCAGUGGUCUGUGAUUUUUCUUCUCACUUCACUAGAUGUAGAUGAGAUGUCUGCACUUUCUAAUAUCAUUUGACUAGAUAAGGCUAGCUCAUGUCAAUCAAAAAUUUGGUGAUAAUAUGGUGUCCAGCAUUGAUGAUUGUGCUUUCUAUUUCCUCUGCAGCAUGUUUUCAGCAAUCUCUUUCUCCAGUUCUUUAGGUAACAUUACUGUGGUGAAAGUUAAGUUCUGGUCUUGAUGAUAGCAUUCAUUUGUGUUAUUAUUGUAAUAACAUUGUCUUUUGACAUAGUACUCACUUGGUAUCUGUGCUGGGCGAAAUUUUAGUACUUGUCUUGAUGGUUGUUCUUUUGUGUCUGUAAUUGCAACAUAACAGGGCAUCUUACAACUGCUAAUGCAGAAAACAACAGCUAAUAUGUACAAACACAUGUAGUGAAAAUAAAAUCAACGUCAGCUUCUGGAAAUGGAUUUGAGUUCAAGCUUUGUGUCCUCUAUAUGAUCACGGGAUAUCUGCUGCUUGACACGGGUAGGUAGCUUUUCUAGCACAAUUGUCAGAAGCAGGUCUGAGUAGCUGUCUUUCUUUCUCAAUGCUUUUAAUCCAUGCAAGUAUAUCUCUAGGUUGUGAUGAAAUUCUCUCACACUGGAAAUUAUGUCGCUUGGCUUUGGAAGUUCCUAUAGCGCUUUCAUGUAUGUUGAGAUAAGUUUAUUAUUAAGGAUUAAGUUUAUUUUAAAGGAUUUCUAACACUUCGUUAUAACUGGCAUUUCUAAGUUGAAGGCCUUGCAGUAUCCAGUUAAUGGUUUAAUCAAGUGUUAAUAUUUCUGAAUUUUUAUCGUCAUCGACAGCAACUUUAAAUGCAUAGAUGGAAGAUACCCAUUUUAAAAUUUUGGUGUGCCUUCCAUUUCCUCUACAGCAUGUUUUCAGCAAUCUCUUUGUGCAGUUCUUUAGGUAACAUUACUGUGGUGAAAGUUAAGUUCUUGUCUUGAUGAUAGCAUUCAUUUUGUGUUAUUAUUGUAAUAACAUUGUCUUUUGACAUAGUACUCACUUGGUAUCUGUACUGGGCGAAAUUUUAGUACUUGUCUUGAUGGUUGUUCUUUUGUGUCUGUAAUUGCAACAUAACAGGGCAUCUUACAACUGCUAAUGCAGAAAACAACAGCUAAUAUGUACAAACACAUGUAGUGAAAAUAAAAUCAAUGUCAGCUUCUGGAAAUGGAUUGCCACUAACUUUUUAGUUGGAAAAUUCCAUCCAUUUCCAGUCUAGGCCUCAUUAUAUGAAUGAUCCUCCACACUCGCUGAUGCCUCGAAUUGUGCACAGUAAGAAUGGUCAGUCGUCGUUUGCUGCUAGUGCUAGCAUUGCACUCAAAGGGCUAGGACUAAGCCGAAACAAUUCUUCAAAAUCCUCGUCAAAAAAUAUGCAAGUCUGUUUUAAAAGGAUGCAUGCAUCAUCAGGAUUAAUAGUCGCUGGUUUGGGCAGAAAACUGGUCGUUGUUGUGGACGAGAAUUUGGUACGAGAGUAAUGUUGUUUUGACCUCAUAUUCCAGGAUGCUCUUUAUAAAUUUACGCAACUUCUGUUAAUUACAUGAUAACCAUGAACGCCUAGAAAACCUACGCCUUGGGCUACCACGAAAUGCAUAGGAUUAUCGCUAAAAAAAAAAUCAAGUAUGAAAAAAAGAACAAUGAAUUAACUAAUGAGGAUGAAAUAACUAUAUGCAAUUGAUAUCUAUUUGCUGUAUACUUAAUUU